rnacentral:rRNA from 1 species
AGAGUUUGAUCCUGGCUCAGAACGAACGCUGGCGGCAGGCUUAACACAUGCAAGUCGAGCGCCCCGCAAGGGGAGCGGCAGACGGGUGAGUAACGCGUGGGAACAUACCCUUUACUACGGAACAACUCCGGGAAACUGGAGCUAAUACCGUAUGUGCCCUUCGGGGGAAAGAUUUAUCGGUAAAGGAUUGGCCCGCGUUGGAUUANCUAGUUGGUGGGGUAAAGGCCUACCAAGGCGACCAUCCAUAGCUGGUCUGAGAGGAUGAUCAGCCACAUUGGGACUGAGACACGGCCCAAACUCCUACGGGAGGCAGCAGUGGGGAAUAUUGGACAAUGGGCGCAAGCCUGAUCCAGCCAUGCCGCGUGAGUGAUGAAGGCCUUAGGGUUGUAAAGCUCUUUCACCGAUGAAGAUAAUGACGGUAGUCGGAGAAGAAGCCCCGGCUAACUUCGUGCCAGCAGCCGCGGUAAUACGAAGGGGGCUAGCGUUGUUCGGAAUUACUGGGCGUAAAGCGCACGUAGGCGGAUAUUUAAGUCAGGGGUGAAAUCCCAGAGCUCAACUCUGGAACUGCCUUUGAUACUGGGUAUCUUGAGUAUGGAAGAGGUAAGUGGAAUUGCGAGUGUAGAGGUGAAAUUCGUAGAUAUUCGCAGGAACACCAGUGGCGAAGGCGGCUUACUGGUCCAUUACUGACC